CUGGCUUUGGGAUAGCCACCGGAAACGGUGAUUAAUACCGGAUAUGACAUGGACUCGCAUGGGUUUGUGUGGAAAGUUUUUCGGCCAGGGAUGUGCUCGCGGCCUAUCAGCUUGAUGGUGAGGUAAUGGCUCACCAUGGCUUCGACGGGUAGCCGGCCUGAGAGGGUGACCGGUCACACUGGGACUGAGACACGGCCCAGACUCCUACGGGAGGCAGCAGUGGGGAAUAUUGGACAAUGGGCGGAAGCCUGAUCCAGCAACGCCGCGUGAGGGAUGACGGCCUUCGGGUUGUAAACCUCUUUCAGUACCGACGAAGCGCAAGUGACGGUAGGUACAGAAGAAGCACCGGCCAACUACGUGCCAGCAGCCGCGGUAAUACGUAGGGUGCGAGCGUCGUCCGGAAUUAUUGGGCGUAAAGGGCUCGUAGGCGGUUUGUCGCGUCGGGAGUGAAAACGCCGUGCUUAACACGGCGCUUGCUUUCGAUACGGGCAGACUAGAGGUAUGCAGGGGAGAACGGAAUUCCUGGUGUAGCGGUGAAAUGCGCAGAUAUCAGGAGGAACACCGGUGGCGAAGGCGGUUCUCUGGGCAUUACCUG
rnacentral:rRNA from 1 species